rnacentral:rRNA from 1 species
GAGUAAUGUCUGGGAAACUGCCUGAUGGAGGGGGAUAACUACUGGAAACGGUGGCUAAUACCGCAUAACGUCGCAAGACCAAAGAGGGGGACCUUCGGGCCUCUUGCCAUCAGAUGUGCCCAGAUGGGAUUAGCUUGUUGGUGAGGUAACGGCUCACCAAGGCGACGAUCCCUAGCUGGUCUGAGAGGAUGACCAGCCACACUGGAACUGAGACACGGUCCAGACUCCUACGGGAGGCAGCAGUGGGGAAUAUUGCACAAUGGGCGCAAGCCUGAUGCAGCCAUGCCGCGUGUAUGAAGAAGGCCUUCGGGUUGUAAAGUACUUUCAGCGGGGAGGAAGGUGUUGUGGUUAAUAACCGCAGCAAUUGACGUUACCCGCAGAAGAAGCACCGGCUAACUCCGUGCCAGCAGCCGCGGUAAUACGGAGGGUGCAAGCGUUAAUCGGAAUUACUGGGCGUAAAGCGCACGCAGGCGGUCUGUCAAGUCGGAUGUGAAAUCCCCGGGCUCAACCUGGGAACUGCAUUCGAAACUGGCAGGCUUGAGUCUUGUAGAGGGGGGUAGAAUUCCAGGUGUAGCGGUGAAAUGCGUAGAGAUCUGGAGGAAUACCGGUGGCGAAGGCGGCCCCCUGGACAAAGACUGACGCUCAGGUGCGAAAGCGUGGGGAGCAAACAGGAUUAGAUACCCUGGUAGUCCACGCCGUAAACGAUGUCUACUUGGAGGUUGUGCCCUUGAGGCGUGGCUUCCGGAGCUAACGCGUUAAGUAGACCGCCUGGGGAGUACGGCCGCAAGGUUAAAACUCAAAUGAAUUGACGGGGGCCCGCACAAGCGGUGGAGCAUGUGGUUUAAUUCGAUGCAACGCGAAGAACCUUACCUGGUCUUGACAUCCACGGAACUUUCCAGAGAUGGAUUGGUGCCUUCGGGAACCGUGAGACAGGUGCUGCAUGGCUGUCGUCAGCUCGUGUUGUGAAAUGUUGGGUUAAGUCCCGCAACGAGCGCAACCCUUAUCCUUUGUUGCCAGCGGUCCGGCCGGGAACUCAAAGGAGACUGCCAGUGAUAAACUGGAGGAAGGUGGGGAUGACGUCAAGUCAUCAUGGCCCUUACGACCAGGGCUACACACGUGCUACAAUGGCGCAUACAAAGAGAAGCGACCUCGCGAGAGCAAGCGGACCUCAUAAAGUGCGUCGUAGUCCGGAUUGGAGUCUGCAACUCGACUCCAUGAAGUCGGAAUCGCUAGUAAUCGUGGAUCAGAAUGCCACGGUGAAUACGUUCCCGGGCCUUGUACACACCGCCCGUCACACCAUGGGAGUGGGUUGCAAAAGAAGUAGGUAGCUUAACCUUCGGGAGGGCGCUUACCACUUUGUGAUUCAUGACUGGGGUGAAGUCGUAACAAGGUAACCGUAGGGGAACCUGCGGUUGG